GAUGAACGCUAGCGACAGGCCUAACACAUGCAAGUCGAGGGGCAUCGGGGUUGAAGCUUGCUUUAACUGCCGGCGACCGGCGCACGGGUGAGUAACACGUAUGCAACCUGCCCGUCACAGGGGUAUAAUCGAUGGAAACGUCGUCUAAUCCCCCAUAUAAUCAUUUUGCUGCAUGGUGAGAUGAUGAAAGCUGAUUGUGGUGACGGAUGGGCAUGCGUGCAUUUAGCUAGUAGCGGGGUAACGGCCCACCUAGGCUUCGAUCAUUAGGGGUUCUGAGAGGAAGGUCCCCCANACUGGAACUGAGACA
rnacentral:rRNA from 1 species